rnacentral:rRNA from 1 species
GCUGUUAAGGGUUCGUAGUUGAAUGCGGAAUUGAGGGAUCCAGCGGGUUCGCCUGCUUUUCGUCUCAUUCUGUCAUAGACGGGACCGGAGCCUUGCGGAGGCUAACCUUCACUGGUUGGCUGUGCUGUUGGGUGAAGAGCUCAACAUUACGCAUGCGACGCACGCUUGGCCGCCCGUCGUUUCACUGUGAAGAAAACAGCGUGUUCAAGGCAACCAUUCUUGGUUGUAUGACAAAGCUGGAAUGACAAGGCAUCGACCAGUGGGUCUGUCUUUUGUCGGUUUUUACGACUUAUUUGGUAAUUUGUUUCCGUAGCCCAACGUCUCUUCUUUCGAGUUGAACGUACUACGGCGGACCGGGAUUAAUGGGGGUUGUCGGGGGAAAACGUAUCUGAGCGUGAGAGGUGAAAUUCUUAGCCGCUCGGGGACGAACUUAUGCGAAGGCAUUUUCCAAGUAUACCUUCAUCAAUCAAGACUAAAGUGUGGAGAUCGAAGAUGAUUAGAGACCAUUGUAGUCCGUCCCUU